UCAAUCAUGAUACCUAAACUCAAAAACUUAGUUUGUUCUGGUCUCUGAACUAGACAUUUUACAAGUAUUAACCUGUUAAGUCAUAUUCCUUUUUUACAGAUGAGGAAACUAAGGAGCAGAGAAGUUAAGUACUUUACCACAUUCAUGCUACUAGUAAACUGCUAGAGUUCAAACUCUGGGUUCCAGAGUCUGAAUUCUUUCCUGAUGAACCAGCCCCUUCCAAUGGAUACCACUGCUGCCUCAUCUGACGGCCAAAGGCAAUAGACAAAAAUGGAGCUCAGAGGACUGCUACCAACUGAAAAAGCUGGACUCGAACCCGGGCUUGUCUGAUCUCCAAGCCUAUGCAUAAGAGCCUGCCUAAGAGUUGCUUCAGUGUCUUUGGAAAACCACUUCCAGCAAGAGUAUCUAUUUCUCCUCUGAGGAUGAAUCUGAUUUCUGGAAAUAGACAAGUGCCAAGUCUGAUGAAUGAAUGGUUGAUCAAGCUGAAUGAUAUUACAACGGGUCACAAAUGAUGUCCGACUUGCAGCUCAGACUUCCUUUUGAACACGAAGGCAGCAAGAACCAAAAGCCUGAGGAUCUGAGGGUUCAUUACUAAGCCUUCCUCUGAAUCUCUUCUGCAAGAUUUCCAACUGACUUCCACAGCUGGAACAGAGUUGCUUCUCAUUGUUUCUUUACAAGGACAGUUAAACAUUGACUUUUUAAAAAAGUAUAGAGGUAACAAAAUCAUAUUAUAAUCAUGAAAUUUUGGGAAG